rnacentral:rRNA from 1 species
CCUACGGGAGGCAGCAGUAGGGAAUGUUCGUCAAUGGGCGCAAGCCUGAACGAGCAAUGCCGCGUGAACGAGGAAGGUCUUCGGAUCGUAAAGUUCUGUUGAAGGGGAAAAAGAGCGGAGAGAGGAAAUGGUCUCCGAUUGAUAUUACCCUUCGAGGAAGUCACGGCUAACUACGUGCCAGCAGCCGCGGUAAUACGUAGGUGGCGAGCGUUAUCCGGAAUGAUUGGGCGUAAAGGGUGCGUAGGCGGCCUACUAAGUCUGGAGUGAAAGGUACCGGCUCAACCGGUACAGGCUCUGGAAACUGGCGGGCUAGAGAGCAGGAGAGGGCGGUGGAACUCCAUGUGUAGCGGUAAAAUGCGUAGAUAUAUGGAAGAACACCAGUGGCGAAGGCGGCCGCCUGGCCUGUUACUGACGCUGAGGCACGAAAGCGUGGGGAGCAAAUAGGAUUAGAUACCCCAGUAGUC